rnacentral:ncRNA from 1 species
CACCUGGUUGAUCCUGCCAGUAGUCAUAUGCUUGUCUCAAAGAUUAAGCCAUGCAUGUCUAAGUAUAAGCUUUAAACGGCGAAACUGCGAAUGGCUCAUUAAAACAGUUAUAGUUUAUUUGGUGAUCGAUUACUAUUUGGAUAACCGUAGUAAUUCUAGAGCUAAUACAUGCGUCAAGGCCCGACUUCGGAAGGGCUGCGUUUAUUAGAUACAGAACCAACCUAGGCUCCGCCUAGUCCUUGUUGGUGAUUCAUAAUAACCCGGCGAAUCGCACGGCUUGUCCGGCGAUGGACCAUUCAAGUUUCUGACCUAUCAGCUAUGGACGGUAGGGUAUUGGCCUACCGUGGCGUUGACGGGUAACGGGGAAUUAGGGUUCGAUUCCGGAGAGGGAGCCUGAGAAACGGCUACCACAUCUAAGGAAGGCAGCAGGCGCGCAAAUUACCCAAUCCUGAUACAGGGAGGUAGUGACAAGAAAUAACAAUACAGGGCAAUUCUGUCUUGUAAUUGGAAUGAGUAGAUUUUAAAUCUCUUUACGAGUAUCAAUUGGAGGGCAAGUCUGGUGCCAGCAGCCGCGGUAAUUCCAGCUCCAAUAGCGUAUAUUAAAGUUGUUGCGGUUAAAAAGCUCGUAGUUGGAUUUCUGCCUUGGGCGACCGAUCCACCUUUCCUACGGGAUUGGUUGGUAUCAGGUUUGACCUUGGCUUUUUCUUGGGAUUCGUGCUCACGUACUUAACUGUGCGUUGACCGUGUUCCAAGACUUUUACUUUGAGGAAAUUAGAGUGUUUCAAGCAGGCUUAUGCCAUGAAUACAUUAGCAUGGAAUAAUAGGAUA